GUCCACGCCCUAAACGAUGUCAACUAGGUGUUGGGAGGGUAAAACCUUUAGUACCGGAGCUAACGCGUGAAGUUGACCGCCUGGGGAGUACGGCCGCAAGGUUAAAACUCAAAGGAAUUGACGGGGACCCGCACAAGCGGUGGAUGAUGUGGAUUAAUUCGAUGCAACGCGAAAAACCUUACCUACCCUUGACAUGGUCGGACGGUUUCCAGAGAUGGAUUCCUUCACUUCGGUGACUGACACACAGGUGCUGCAUGGCUGUCGU
rnacentral:rRNA from 1 species